AUUGAACGCUGGCGGCAGGCCUAACACAUGCAAGUCGAACGAGUGGCGGACGGGUGAGUAAUGUCUGGGAAACUGCCUGAUGGAGGGGGAUAACUACUGGAAACGGUAGCUAAUACCGCAUACCAUCGGAUGUGCCCAGAUGGGAUUAGCUAGUAGGUGGGGUAAAGGCUCACCUAGGCGACGAUCCCUAGCUGGUUUGAGAGGAUGACCGGACACACUGGAACUGGGGCACGGACCAGACUCCUACGGGAGGCGUCAGGGGGGAAUAUUGCACAAUGGGCGAAAGACUGAUGCAGCCAUGCCGCGUGUAUGAAGAAGGCCGUCGAGUUGUAAAGUACUUUCAGCGGGGAGGCGUUACCCGCAGAAGAAGCACCGGCUAACUCCGUGCCAUCAACCGCGGUAAUAC
rnacentral:rRNA from 1 species